rnacentral:lncRNA from 1 species
CCUCUCUUUGUAUCUCUGUCUUCUCUUAUCUUCUAUUCUCUUCCCUUCUCCCCUCUUUCCCUUUCCUCAAUUCUCUUCUCUUCUCCCCUCCUGUCCUUUCUUCUAUUCUUUCCUUUUCCUUGCGUGUUUGCCUGGUCAUUCGCUUAUCUCUCGCUACCUCACUCCUCCACCUCCCCCUCCUCCUCCUUGCCCCUGGAAGCUCCGCCCUCAUUCCUCCAACUUGCCAGUUGCAGUCCAUCUCUCGCCGUCUCCGGAUGCUUCCUCACUGCGGUUGAAUCAGAUUUUCCCGAAAGAAAUUACUCUUCGCCUCCUGUCAACUUUAGUGCUUGGAUCAUACGAAUUCUUUCUACAUCUCUCUGAAAGGUAACUACAUGUAUAUUUCUUGUACACUUAUUGUUCUGCCCCCCCUUAUUUUCAUUUUCAUUUUGAUUGUUUUCAUUAACUGGUUGAUAUUACUCUGUGUGAUCAAUGAAUUUAUCGUACAAGUAAUUGUCUCUGCCCCUUUAUCUUCAAUUUUGUUAAUGUGUCUACGCUAUUUUAUAUCAAUUCUACGCUUCCACUGUCCACUUCUCUUUUUUUAAUUUCAUUUACUUUAUCUUGUUAUUUUUUAUGGUUCUUUUUCCCUCCCUCUAUUUCUUUUUCUCCUCCGCCAUUUUUUCCUUCUCUGUUUGUCUGUCUGUCUUACUCUCCCUCUCUCUCUCCGGUUCCCUUUCGCUGUUUUUUUUAUAUUAUCAUUCUUGCCCAUUUUUUUCUGUUUCGUCUUUUCGUGAGGGAAAUGCACAGUGGAAACAGAUUUUCCCGAAAGAUAUUACUAUUCGCCUCCUGUCAACUUCAGUGCUUUGAUCAUACGAAUUCUUUCUACAUCUCUCUAAAAUGUCAUACCGGGCUAUAGAGGAACAAUCAGAAUCUAUAAGAGUGAACACAGUACUGGUGCGAAAAUUAGAAAAAGUGUAAAUUGUGCGGUGCGAUUGAAAUAAGAAAAGAAAGAAAAUUACUGUUUGUGCGUUGUGAACUCUGAACUGAUAAUCCAUCUUAGUAACUGGUGCGAAAAUUAGAAAAAAGUGUAAAUUGUGCGGUGCGAUUAAAAUAAAAAGAAAGAAAAUUACAGUCAGAAUCUAUAAGAGUGAACACAGUACUGGUGCGAAAAUUUGAAAACAGUGUAAAUUGUGCGGUGCGAUUGAAAUAAAAAGAAAGAAAGAAAAUUAUAGUCAGAAUCUAUAAGAGUGAACACAGUACUGGUGCGAAAAUUAGAAAAAAGUGUAAAUUGUGCGGUGCGAUUGAAAUAA